rnacentral:rRNA from 1 species
GCGGCGUGCUUAACACAUGCAAGUCGAACGAUGAACCAGGAGCUUGCUCUUGGGAAUUAGUGGCGAACGGGUGAGUAACACGUGAGUAACCUGCCCUUGACUCUGGGAUAACCUCCGGAAACGGAAGCUAAUACCGGAUACGACGUACGGAGGCAUCUCCUGUACGUGGAAAGAACUUCGGUCAAGGAUGGACUCGCGGCCUAUCAGGUAGUUGGUGAGGUAACGGCUCACCAAGCCUACGACGGGUAGCCGGCCUGAGAGGGUGACCGGCCACACUGGGACUGAGACACGGCCCAGACUCCUACGGGAGGCAGCAGUGGGGAAUAUNGCACAAUGGGCGCAAGCCUGAUGCAGCAACGCCGCGUGAGGGAUGACGGCCUUCGGGUCGUAAACCUCUUAUAGUAGGGAAGAAGCGAAAGUGACGGUACCUGCAGAAAAAGCACCGGCUAACUACGUGCCAGCAGCCGCGGUAAUACGUAGGGUGCNAGCGUUGUCGGAAUUAUUGGGCGUACAGAGCUCGUAGGCGG